AUUGCUUCCUCACCUUUUAGCUAAGAUCAAGCAUAGUAUCUAUUUUAAUAAGUUCACUGUCUUGUGCAGCCUCUCUUUGAGGACUAUGUAAAUGACUAUUUGGAGAAGAGAGAUGGAACUGAGGCUCACUCCAUCAACUGUACGCCACCUAUUGCAGUACCUCCAGGAAUGGUGUACCCCUU